rnacentral:rRNA from 1 species
GAUGAACGCUGGCGGCGUGCCUAAUACAUGCAAGUCGAGCGAACAGACGAGGAGCUCGCUCCUCUGACGUUAGCGGCGGACGGGUGAGUAACACGUGGAUAACCUACCUAUAAGACUGGGAUAACUUCGGGAAACCGGAGCUAAUACCGGAUAAUAUAUUGAACCGCAUGGUUCAAUAGUGAAAGACGGUUUUGCUGUCACUUAUAGAUGGAUCCGCGCCGCAUUAGCUAGUUGGUAAGGUAACGGCUUACCAAGGCGACGAUGCGUAGCCGACCUGAGAGGGUGAUCGGCCAAACGGGAACUGAGACACGGUCCAGACUCCUACGGGAGGCAGCAGGAGGGAAUCUUCCGCAAUGGGCGAAAGCCGGACGGAGCAACGCCGCGUGAGUGAUGAAGGUCUUCGGAUCGUAAAACUCUGUUAUUAGGGAAGAACAAAUGUGUAAGUAACUAUGCACGUCUUGACGGUACCUAAUCAGAAAGCCACGGCUAACUACGUG